AUUUAGGAUUUUUUAAAAUCCACCCACCCAACUUUUAUUAUUAUU
rfam:Pediculus humanus corporis strain TSDA 1103172092313, whole genome shotgun sequence.